rnacentral:tRNA from 1 species
AUUAAGGUGGCAGAGCCAGGUAUAAUGCAUAAGUCCUAAGAUCUUCCUUUCAGAUGUUCAAAUCAUCUCCUUAAUA